rnacentral:rRNA from 1 species
UACGUAGGGGGCAAGCGUUGUCCGGAAUUAUUGGGCGUAAAGAGCGUGUAGGCGGCCAGAUAAGUCCGCUGUGAAAUCUCGAGGCUCAACUUCGAGCUGUCGGUGGAAACUAUCUGGCUAGAGUCCGGAAGAGGAGAAUGGAAUUCCUGGUGUAGCGGUGGAAUGCGCAGAUAUCAGGAGGAACACCAAUAGCGAAGGCAGCUCGCUGGGACGGUACUGACGCUGAGGCGCGAAAGCGUGGGGAGCGAACAGG